GUAACGAAUUGUUAGAAUAUAUUGUUGCUUUUUCUAUUGUUGGUCGACAUUUUCAAGCGGAAAAUUUCCGAAAGAUCCGAUUUGUUCCCUCCUUUUUUUAGAUUUCUUGAGAGGAUUGUGAUUAAGUAAACUUCAGUAAUACGACCGAAGGCCCGAGCGAUUAAGGCGUUAGCAUAUUGUGCAGAGGGGUUCAAGAUCGAAUCCAGGCCAGAAAUUUUCACAGUGUCCAAGGCCCGUUCAUCACCACCCAUUUAUUGGCCGAAUCCACGUUGAGUAUGGAAAAACAUAAGAGAAUUCUGAUAUUUCCGCAUGGAAGAUAAUACAUUUAUAAAUAAUAAAUUUAUAAAAUUAUAGUCGAUAAUAAAGUUCGAUGCAUUAUGUAUAUUAAUGGAAAGUUAACUUUGUAAUUAAUG